rnacentral:rRNA from 1 species
UACGGAGGGGGCGAGCGUUGUCCGAAGUUACUGGGCGUAAAGCGCGCGUAGGCGGGUUGGUAAGUCCGCUGUGAAAGCCCGGAGCUCAACUCCGGAGGGUCGGUGGAUACUGCCAGUCUUGAAGGUGCUAGGGGGAGAUGGAAUUACCGGUGUAGCGGUGAAAUGCGUAGAGAUCGGUAGGAACACCAGUGGCGAAGGCGGUCUCCUGGGGCAUUCUUGACGCUGAGGCGCGAAAGCUGGGGGAGCAAACAGG